rnacentral:rRNA from 1 species
UACAGAGGUCCCAAGCGUUGUUCGGAUUCACUGGGCGUAAAGGGUGCGUAGGCGGUCGGGUAAGUCUGACGUGAAAUCUCCAAGCCUAACUUGGAAACUGCGUUGGAUACUAUCCGGCUCGAGGAAUGGAGGGGAGACUGGAAUACUUGGUGUAGCAGUGAAAUGCGUAGAUAUCAAGUGGAACACCAGUGGCGAAGGCGAGUCUCUGGACAUUUCCUGACGCUGAGGCACGAAAGCCAGGGGAGCAAACAGG